rnacentral:rRNA from 1 species
AAAACGGAGAGUUUGAUCCUGGCUCGAGGAUGAACGCUGGCGGUAUGCUUAACACAUGCAAGUCGAACGGUCUCUUCGGAGAUAGUGGCGG